rnacentral:rRNA from 1 species
GCGNGAGAGUUGGGUUAAGUCCCGCAACGAGCGCAACCCUCGUCUUUAGUUGCCAGCAUUAAGUUGGGCACUCUGGAGAGACUGCCGGUGACAAACCGGAGGAAGGUGGGGAUGACGUCAAGUCAGCAUGCCCCUUACGUCUUGGGCUACACACGUACUACAAUGCUUCGGACAAAGGGUUGCAAGCGUGCGAACGCAAGCUAAUCCCAUAAACCGAGGCUCAGUUCAGAUUGCAGGCUGCAACUCGCCUGCAUGAAGGCGGAAUCGCUAGUAAUCGCAGGUCAGCAUACUGCGGUGAAUACGUUCCCGGGCCUUGUACACACCGCCCGUCACACCAUGGGAGUUGGCCACGCCCGAAGUCGUUACUCCAACCGUUCGCGGAGGAGGAUGCCGAAGGCAGGGCUGAUGACUGGGGUGAAGUCGUAACAAGGUAACCAAGCCGAAUUC